CUCCCGCUCACUGGAGACUGCGGUGUCGCUGCGGGGGCGCCCCGCCCGUGGGCCCAGCGAAGGCCGGGGACCACCCAGCGGCGAGCGCCCGCCGUUACAAGCAGCGCGUGAGCCCGGGGCCACUAACCAGGCGACGGUUAGCGGGCCCCUGUGGCCGCGAGGACGCGCAGGUGUGUGCGGGGCAGCGGCGGCACACGCCGGGGGAGUAGUCUGCACACAGUGCAGGCGUGCUCGGGCAUUUGGCCGAGUUGGUCCAGAAGACAGAACCGCCCGCUCUUGGGAAUUGAGCCAAGGAAUUCCUCAGCGGCCCGGCCGCCCCCACUCCCAACCCUGCCUGGACUUUGACCUGUGGACGAGAGGAGAGAGGUGGAGCGAGCUGGCAGCACCCAUGUCCUGAGGUGGCCAGAGGCGGAGACAACAACCCACGUGGAGGCCAGCCGGAGCUGCCGGCGGGGCGUCCGGGCUUCACGGCUUCUGCCAGAGACACUCCGUCUCACAGAGGGGGCCGUGGAGUCUUGGGAAAGUCUCAAGGCUCCAGGAAGGCUUCCCUGUGGUGGCCUCAGUUCCUGUGUGUCCCCAGUGAGGGGGCUCAGCUGGCCACUGGCGAGAGGCCUUUUCAAAGUGGAAAGUUUUUCUAAUUGAGAUAAAAUUCACAUAACAUAAAAUCCACUAUUAGCCCUUUU